GGAACUGAAACAUCUAAGUACCCCGAGGAAAAGAAAUCAACCGAGAUUCCCCCAGUAGCGGCGAGCGAACGGGGAGGAGCCCAGAGCCUGAAUCAGCAUGUGUGUUAGUGGAAGCGUCUGGAAAGGCGCGCGAUACAGGGUGACAGCCCCGUACACAAAAGCGCAUGUGCUGUGAGCUCGAUGAGUAGGGCGGGACACGUGGUAUCCUGUCUGAAUAUGGGGGGACCAUCCUCCAAGGCUAAAUACUCCUGACUGACCGAUAGUGAACCAGUACCGUGAGGGAAAGGCGAAAAGAACCCCGGCGAGGGGAGUGAAAAAGAACCUGAAACCGUGUACGUACAAGCAGUGGGAGCCCCACCACUAAGCCAGUGGUGAACUCCACAUACGCAUCCUUUGCUGAAGGCAAUGGUUAACGGAGCGAAAGCGACGUUCAACCGCAAAACAAGCAGAGGGGGCUUAGUGGUGGGGUGACUGCGUACCUUUUGUAUAAUGGGUCAGCGACUUAUAUUCUGUAGCAAGGUUAACCGUAUAGGGGAGCCGGAGGGAAACCGAGUCUUAAUUGGGCGUUAAGUUGCAGGGUAUAGACCCGAAACCCGGUGAUCUAGCCAUGGGCAGGUUGAAGGUUGGGUAACACUAACUGGAGGACCGAACCGACUAAUGUUGAAAAAUUAGCGGAUGACCUGUGGCUGGGGGUGAAAGGCCAAUCAAACCGGGAGAUAGCUGGUUCUCCCCGAAAGCUAUUUAGGUAGCGCCUCGUGAAUUCAUCUCCGGGGGUAGAGCACUGUUUCGGCUAGGGGGCCAUCCCGGCUUACCAACCCGAUGCAAACUGCGAAUACCGGAGAAUGUUAUCACGGGAGACACACGGCGGGUGCUAACGUCCGUCGUGAAGAGGGAAACAACCCAGACCGCCAGCUAAGGUCCCAAAGUCAUGGUUAAGUGGGAAACGAUGUGGGAAGGCCCAGACAGCCAGGAUGUUGGCUUAGAAGCAGCCAUCAUUUAAAGAAAGCGUAAUAGCUCACUGGUCGAGUCGGCCUGCGCGGAAGAUGUAACGGGGCUAAACCAUGCACCGAAGCUGCGGCAGCGA
rnacentral:rRNA from 1 species